AUUGAGCUUUACUAUUAACUUGUAUUGCCAAAGCAAAUAAAAGGGAACUCUCCCUUGCUUUAUAAUAAAAUUGAGUAGACUAAGUGGGAAAAAAGGGAUGUUAGUCCCCUUUUUAUGGCCGAUUCAUUGGAUUGGGCCCCCAAAAGAUACCUUUUGGGGCCAUUGGCGUAGAGAGGGGGGAUCCGAUUUUCGGAUCGGCGCCGAAGGCGCCCAACCCUACUCGAUUUUUAUGAAAAACCACUCUUUUUAUUAGGAUUACUGGCUAAAACCGUACAAGUAAGGUAGUUUGGUUGGGGCGACCGCCUUCGAAAAAGUAUCGAAGGCGUACAUAAGAUUAAUCCGGGGGGGGUGUCCUUUUUUCACCCCCAAACAAACCGGGGGUAAUGCCCCAAAAAAGAUUAGUUUGACUGAGAGGGCUACAACCCGAACAGGCGCUUGGGGAUCGUUAGGAUCCCUGGGCCCGGUUUAUACCAAGGGGCCUAAUUGACCAGCGGGCUCCUUUUUAUUCCCGGGUCGAACCUAGCGGGUCAUAGUGAUCCGUUGUUAUAU
rnacentral:rRNA from 1 species